rnacentral:lncRNA from 1 species
CUCUAAGUCCAUAGAUGUUCUCCUCAACUCCAACGGCUAUAGAAACGGUACCCCAAUCAAGAUCAUCUCCUUCAUACAUUUGUUCAUCUUCAUGAUUUUGGGGGGCUCCAGUUAACCAUUCAUUUGCCUCAUCAAUAUUGUGAGAAAGCACGGGAGAAAUAUGUAAUUGGUAUUAAACAUAGUACAAUGAGCCCUAUAUAUAUAUACACAUAACCUAUCCUACUCCUAAUACANN